rnacentral:rRNA from 1 species
CGGGCGGCGCGAAGGUCUAAGUCCCUUGGAACGGGGCGUCAUAGAGGGUGAGAAUCCCGUAUGUGAUCGGCGACCAAGCCCAUGUGAAACUCCUUCGACGAGUCGAGUUGUUUGGGAAUGCAGCUCAAAAUGGGUGGUAAAUUUCAUCUAAAGCUAAAUACCGGCCAGAGACCGAUAGCGCACAAGUAGAGUGAUCGAAAGAUGAAAAGCACUUUGGAAAGAGAGUCAAAAAGUACGUGAAAUUGUUGAAAGGGAAGCGCUUGCCACCAGACCUGCCCGCGGGCGAUCAGCCGCUUUCUUGAAAGCGGUACACUCACCGCGAUCAGGCCAUCAUCGGUUCGGGCGGCCGGAUAAAGGCCUCGGGAACGUGGCUCCUCUCGGGGAGUGUUAUAGCCCUUGGC